rnacentral:lncRNA from 1 species
UUUGGUGUGUGCUGCGUCACGAAAGUUGCCGAAAACGGAGUCAUCAGGGCGAAUAACACGCUGAUUCUUAAGGAGUCGUUCAAUGACGGCGUUGACAUCACCUAUACUGUCGUCAAGGUGAAUGAUGACAUCUGCCAGUACAGGAUUGACGUGAAGGAGCUGACACG